rfam:Clostridium sp. CAG:780 genomic scaffold, scf303
AGAGUAAAUUAAAUGGUCGCGUAUAGCAAGGUCGAAAGGCAGCGUACGAGGAAAGUCCGGGCUCCACAGAGCAAUAAUGCUGGAUAACGUCCAGUGAGGGUAACCUUAAGGAAAGUGCAACAGAAAACAACCGCCAGAAAUGGUAAGGGUGAAAAGGCGAGGUAAGAGCUCACCGCUAAUAUGGUGACAUAUUAGGCUGUGUAAACCCCAUUUGGAGCAACACCGAGACAAGAAGGCUAAGACUGCUCGUCAUCUUCUUAAUUUGGUGGCUUGAAACAUAUAGUAAUAUAUGUGCUAGAUAAAUGGCCAUUCUAGACAGAACCCGGCUUACAGAUUUACUUUUAUA